UUUAGAAUAGCUCAGUUGGUAGAGUAGAAGGCUCUUAAUCUCAGGGUUGGGGGUUUGAGCCCCACGUUGGGUAAAA